rnacentral:lncRNA from 1 species
UUUUAUAUAGUAUAUAUACUAAAUAACCAAUGUCUUAUAGCCUCAACUUUUAUAUACCUUUUGGUCAAUAAAAGUUUGCUGAGUGAACUGAAUUAAGAAUUUGUAAGAAGCAACCUUGUAACUUGUUUUGUUGUUGAUGACUAGUUCUUAAUCUUAUAGACUACACCAGCCUUUAAAGCAUCUUCAUAGCGUGCUAUUCGAUUAGCUAUUAGCUGGUAUGAAGGCGUGGAUUGUUGUUCCAAAAAAAAUUUGUAUCAAACAAACAAUGUGGUGCUUAUUAAAUUUUAAACUGAGAAUAUCUAAACAAUUGUUUUUAUAUCUUUUGAUCAAUAAGAAAUAACUCGAGAUCGAUAAGCAAACCACCCUUGUUGAUGUUACAUGCUUCCCAAAAGUGAACCACUCUAG